AGGAGAAUGGUCUCAAACUUUUUAAACUGUGACUCAGAACAAAAUAUAUUUUACAUAGUGGCUGAGAAACACACGUUAUCAGUAGAUAAAACAGCAAGGUUUCCAGUAAGUUGCUGAGACUGACCUUGAAUUUGUGAUCCUCCUGCCUUGGUCUCUUGUAUGAUACCACACCUGCCUUCGGUGUUUCAAUGUUCCCAACACAAAGAAAUGACAAAUGUCUGAGGUGACAGAUAUGCUGAUUUCCCUGAUUUGAUCAUUACAUGUUGUAUACAUGUAUUAAAAUGUCACAAUGUCCCCCUUAAAUAAGUAUAAUUACUAUGUGUCAAUAAUAAAAAUGUAGUUUUUAAAAUGU